rnacentral:lncRNA from 1 species
GGCCUCCAUUUAUUGUUUUGAACUGGACCUCAUAUUUACCCAAACGCCCCUGGUGAUGGGGACAAGGGGCUAAGCCCGACCUCUAACAACCAGGUUGAUUGGGGUGCACUGAGUCCUGGUGGUCUUGGACUAGAUGCCCCUCUAGGGGUUUUCGAGCUCUAAUCUUAUUUCAUGAAGUGCAUGGGACGACUUGGUCUGGUAGUGGCGGCUGACUGUCGAAGAGGUGAGAGCACGAGAACUGGUGCCAGCCAGAGGUUGGAGAUAAGGUCAAAAAGGAUAUUUCCCCCAUCUUCUCUCCCCGCAAAAUAAAAAAUAAAUAAAAUAAUCGCUGUGAUAUCUUAUAGCAAAUAACUAGGGAUGAAAAUAGAUAGAAAUGGUCAGAAACCCCUAAAUAGUUUUCUACUUCUACAUUUGAAUACGAAAACGAAAGUGAAAGCGAUAAAGCUUAAUACGAAAACAAACACAAACUUAUGAAAUGGCCC